AGGUCUUGAAAACCCACCCUAUAAUGAUAGAUAAACCUGAAUAUUACUUUUAAAUUUAGAAAUAUUCCAUCUUAAAAAUAAAAUGAAGAAGAAGCAGCUUACAGUGACCAAGCCAAUUUGAAAAUUUUUAUUAACUAUAUUUUAUAACUGCUUAAAUGUUUAAAUCUUGUAUAGAAAAUGGAACAAAACAGGCUGAAGAGAAGAUAAAUAUUCGAAUCAGCAAGCUUCAGAUGGAGAUUAAUGAAGAAAUUUUUUAGAAUUAGAGACAAAACCAAGAAGAGGAAACCUUUGCAACCCUUCCUCUCAGAAGAAUGUAUUUUUUGGUGAUCCUGGCUUUUCUAGGACGAAUUACUGAUAAGGAGACAUUUGAGACCAUUCCUGCAAAAUCACACGAUAAUCAUUUAGUACAAGAAGAAAGUAACAUCUCUCUCUCUUGUGAAUUUCAAAUGAAGCGCUCAGGACAACCAUUUAUUAUAUAUUGGAUCAAAUAUAAAGAAACAAGCAAAUGCCUGUCUUCUGUUGAGAGAGAGCCAUAUACUUUCUCGUAUAAUACACAUUGCUGUAUUGAUGAGAUGAUCGAAGGACGACUAUUGAACUAUACAAGCUUAGAUUCAAACAAGACACACGUAGUCCAUAAUAUGACCAUCUUGAAUGUUACUUACUCCGACAGUGGAACUUAUUUAUGUGUUGUAAAUGCCUGGUCAAGAGAUAAACAUGUGUGGAAGAUUGCAAAUAACCUUUCUAUAGAAGUGAGGAAGCAAGCCAUUCCAUCCUCUGCUUCCAUGCCAUUGUAUGCCACCACUGGAUUGAUCGUAGGGAUUAUUAUCAUCAGUGGGAUAGCAUGGUUGAUCUAUAACAAGAAAACCAAAUCAAAAGGAAAGCCAUCUGCACAACUUCCCAGAGCUCAGGAUGCUCUUGAAAUUCCAGGAGAUGAAUGUUCCCCGUACGCAGUGAGAAGCAGCGAAGACUUGCAAAGAAAUGAAGUGUUGUGUUCACUUGGAACAAGCCCAUAUGAGGACCCAAAUGCAGCCUAUUGUACAGUGGAUAACACUGCAGCAACUGGCAAGGGGCCAGGAGAUGAAAUACAGACAGUCUAUGAAGUGGUGCCACAAUAGCUGUUCCUAGGAGCUGGAGAAUGGACGUCGGUUUGAAAAUAACUAUGUACUUUUGGCUGAUUUUAGGGGAAAAAACUCAGCAUAGUAGCCUUGACUACCCAAUUUUGACUAUUCAAUGAGCUAUCUUAGAAAAUAUUAUGGGGCAGAUCCUCUACUGAUAUAAAUUCUCAUAGCUCCAUUAUGAAGCUAUGACC
rnacentral:lncRNA from 1 species